AAAAUCAAUAAAAUAUAUUUUAAAAAAAUUGGAAUGGUGCAGAGAAGAUUAGCAUGGCCCCUGGGCAAGGAUGACACGCAUAUUCGUGAAGCGCUCCAUAAAAUA